CAGGAGGGAGGGAACCGGGCGUCUGGGUCCUCGCUCAGCCCCUCCCCGGGGGCCCAGCCCCUCCCCGGGGCACCCCGACCUUCAGCUCCCUUUUCUUUCUGGGCUGUCAGUCCGUUUCAGGGCCGCAGAGCCGCCCCUAAAAAAAUGAACCCUGCAGCCCAUCUCUGCUCUGGGCCCCCGACACAUUGAUCCACUGCAUCCCUCCCUCUUGCAGAACCCGGAAUCCAGAGCCCCCAGACCCAGCCGUGUCCUCAUUAAGACUGGAGUCCCUGCCUGUCCAGGAGCCGGGAAUGCAGGCCAAAAAUAUCUUUCCAGGCCCAGAAGGCUCGCUUUUAACCACUUCUGCUCCUAAAACCCUGGGAGUCUGAAUUCAGAUUGCUCUUUUCAGUCAGAAACCUGGCCCCCCAGCUUAGGCAGCAUGUGGAACCCAGUAAUCCGUACCCCAAACUCCUAUGGCACUGGGUCCAGGAAUUUUGCUACAACACCCUUCCACCCCUAUUGACUGUGAUAUCUGAGACCCAGGAGUCUGACCCCCUCCCACCCCAUCCUUACACCGCAGAUUCCAGUGUAAACGUGGUUUAAGGGACCUCCUCCCAAGAUCCUUAAAUACAGGAAUCUAGCCUCCACUCUUUCGUAGGAACCUAGGAGUCAGGGAUUCUAGCUAGCCAGGACUUCAUGUAGAGCCUAGGAUUGGCACCCUCAACUCCAUCUUCUUUUUGGGAGACAGAGACCCUAGCACGCAGAUCCUAUUCAACCCAGGGGUCUGGUUCCCCAAUCCGUUGCAACCCAGGUAGCUAAG
rnacentral:lncRNA from 1 species